rnacentral:misc_RNA from 1 species
UUUUUUUUUUUUUAAUUUUUUGCAUUUUCUCGCCUUUCCUCACCUUUUCUCACCGUUUCUCGACUCGCCUGGGCGCCUAGGCAGCGUCUGGUUGAAGUCGCCUCACCUAGAAGCUUCCCAGGCGAGGUGCCUAGAUUUCGCCUUGCCCGGGUGCCUGAUGACAACACUGCUCUAAACCAGGUCGGGUUUGUAAUUGAACCAGAUAUGAAAUUGACUUGGCACUAGGACUCGUGAAUCCAUGUAAGCCGUUGACUCGG